UCCACAUCCCCCUGCCUUUUCCGAGAAAAGGACAGUUAGUGCCUGGACCAGGACCAUUACACUGGGGACCGGCUUCUCUGCUCUCCCGUUAUGGGGGUCGGGGGAAUGAUGGGUCAAGAGUCUUCCGAAGAAAGCGAGAAAGGAACAGGCGCCUUCAAAAGCCCACUUGGCGAUGGGUUACAGUAAGAGGAAGUCUGCAUUAUCACGAGGAGCUUGGAAAGGAGGUAACACACUCAAUGCAAAUUUCAAGUAACUCAUCCUGGAGGCAGCUGCCUACUCUGCAGCUGUGGUUCUCCACCACAGAGAGAAGAAAAGGGAGGGAGAUGGAGUGCGCAGGUCUGAGAAGGCUUUCAUUCUGGAGCAUCUGCAGGAGCCUGCACCAUGGCCCAGUAGCACCCCUUUUUCUCCAUGAGCUGCUGGUGGGUUCCCCCCUCCCGGAUAGCGCCUCCUUCCAGAAAGAGGAUGUGGUCAGCCUGCUCCACCAGGCUGAGGUGCUGGGUGAUGAGAAGCACUGAGCGGGAGUACCGCUCAGGGCUUUCGUACAGGAGCUGCUCCACCUGAGGAAAGACAUCGGACCGUCAGAGCCGGGGACUACCCUCAGCCCAGGGAGACACCUGUGUUUCCAGGGCUGGGACUGACCUCACAGGAUCACUGCUGGCUCUGCUAACAACCCCAAGGACACCAACGCUUCCCAUUCUGAGUACUUCUCCACAAACCCUUUGUUUCAUUAAGGACUGUUUUACAUGAAGGGUGCAAAAGUAGGAUAAAAAUGAGAACCCUAGGGUGAAACACAUGACAGAAGAAUAAAGACUAUUGAAUAGUCCUCUUCUCUACCCAUGGACUUGGAAUUUUUAUAUUCGAUUUUAAGGAAAUAUAACUUAGUAGUAAAGAGAUGAGCAUUCAAGUCAGGCAGACCUGAAUUUGGGUCAAGGCUGCGCCACUCAAAAGCUAUAUGACCUCUAUAUGAGCAGCUUAUUCAUCCUCUUUUAACCUCCAUUUUGUCAUCUGUAGAAUGAUGAUAAAUGCCUAACUCAGAAGGAUUCCUAAUGAAUAAAUGAGUGACAGUGCAUGUAAACAGACUAGCUUAAUUAAUAUUAAUAUGAUUAGGAUGGGCUGGGCCUGGUGGCUCAUGCCUAUAAUCCUAGCACUUUGGGAGGUCAAGGAGGGAGGAUCACUUGGGCCCAGGAGUUCAAGGCCAGCCUGGGCAACAUAGCGGGACGUUGUCUGUACAAAAAAAAAAUUUUUUAAAUAAAUGAUAUUAUGAGGA
rnacentral:lncRNA from 1 species